rnacentral:rRNA from 1 species
UACGAAGGGGGCUAGCGUUGUUCGGAAUUACUGGGCGUAAAGCGCGCGCAGGCGGCUAUCCAAGUCAGUGGUGAAAGCCGGAGCUCAACUCCGGAACUGCCAUUGAAACUGUUAGCUUGAGGACGAGAGAGGUGAGUGGAAUUCCCAGUGUAGAGGUGAAAUUCGUAGAUAUUGGGAAGAACACCGGUGGCGAAGGCGGCAUCCUGGACCGAGAUUGACGCUGAUGCGCGAAAGCCAGGGAG